UGUCACUUAGAUCCUGUCAUGUAAUUUCAUGGAUGGGCAAAGCCAUCAGCCCGAGGCACUAAGUCACUGUUACUGGAAAAGUCAAAGCAGAGAGGAUGAGAACAUUUCUAACCACUCCAUCAGAUGGGAGAGCCUCGGCAAGCGAAGUCUGAGUUUAAGAAAGUAAAUUCUGGCGUGGAUGUAUAGUGCAAUGAAUGUCUGCAAUUAAUUGUUCAAUGAAGACCCAUCCUUCAGCUUUUAACAAAAUCCUUGCCUCGGAGUUGUAACCCAAUGGCUACCUUGGUGUCACGUCUGCUGAUCGCCUUUGCAACUUAGUUUGAGAUCUCUCGUUUCUUAAAAUAUCCUCACUUGCUGCUGGAACCUAGCCUUUCCCUAGUGGCCUCUGAACCACUGGAUUUUACUUACACCUUCUGCUUUGGCUGGUUCUUUCUUUUUCUGAUAGUGUUUCAGCAGGAGACAGAGGUACUGCUCUGAGGUACUGAGGCCUGAGCACUCCACCUGAGAGGAGAAACCUACUCUCUUCACUUACUGCUCCUCAGGGAAGCAGUACCCAGUUACUGGGAAAGCGACUGGAAUUCUGAUUCCUUGGUACCCAUGCAGUGGGGGUGGACUUGAUCCCACAAGGCCAUAAUGAAGUCCUGCACUUCACCAAGCCGCCUCUGACACAACCAUAAGAGCCCAAGGGUCACACUGCCAAUGGCAACUUAAACUAGAAUCUCAGGGUCCUCGUGUGGUCCCCACCAGUGCCAACAAUCAGCAGAAGAGAACAUGUUAUCAUAGGAGAUAAAACUCCUGGCUUCCUGCUUAGUUUCCUCCCAUACCACCAGGUGAAGAGCCAGCCCAACUCCAUUUUAUAAUCAGAAGUCCAUUUGAGUCUGUGGCUAAGUUUCUGUUUACUGUAAAACAUGAGUUUCUGUUUCUCAGAGAGCUGAGCUGCAUCCCACCUCAUAACCAUGAAAUGUUCUGUAACAAAAGCUCUAGGAAGAUUUCCUUAACUGCUUUGUAAAAUCCUAACUACCUGGUCUUGUUUCCGUAACCACACUUGCUGAUAAAAUCCCCCUCCAUAGUUCUGCCGUAUAAAAGGAGCCUGAGAAACUAACUCAGAGCUGGUCUCUGGAACCCUGUUUUAAGGGGAGACAAGCGCUAGCUGGCUCUCUGGUAAGUGCACAAUAAAGUUUGCUUUA